CAAGAAAUAGUUUAGUUAGAAUACCAGUUUUGGGUAUUGGUGGUGGGGUUUGUUACCUCUUUCUUGA
rnacentral:tRNA from 1 species